AAAAUCAGUCUCUGACACUCUCAGGGAUCACCUGCUAGUUAGGACUGAUCUCAGGGAUUACCCGUUAGUUAGGACUGACUCCAAAACAUUAUUAGUACCCGUGGCAUGGUAUUAGCACCCUUCUAACUGGGGUCAUAGGUUGAACCCAAUCAGCUCAGACUGGGGCAUGUUGGUUAGAUGAUAACUCCCACAAUUAUAGUUAGAGAUUCAGUACUCA
rnacentral:lncRNA from 1 species